AAAACGUCAAAAGGUCACGUGUCAUGAUGCUGCAGUCACGCGGGCGUGGAGCUGGCGCGGGAGGAGGCAGCACAGGGAGCUGUGGAAAUGAUCGGCGCUGAUCUUGGAGUGGACGCCGUGUUCAUCACCACCAGCUCUUAGAUUACUCGGCAGCGUCAGAGCUUUUACUGGAAAGAAGCCUUUUAUCACCGCUCUAUAAUCAGAAAGGUCCCCUGUUACCCGGUGACGUGAGGGGCUGGUGAUUCUCAGUCAUGACGUCCUUGUGUCUUUCUGACUCAUUCACAGAGAAAUAGGCGGCGACAACCUGACACCUUAUAGGAACCUGACAACAUGUCCCAGCAUUCCCAGCAGCGCUCACCUCUCUGGUCAGCAGGACAGAUGACUGUAGGAAGGACCCAUUCAAAUUACUUCGUUUUGAGGUUUAACCAGUAUUAUCUUCUGAUAUAUUUCCUUCAGGCACUUUUCCAUGUCCGCUUUGCCCAGUGUUUUCCUGUUUGGCAUGGUGACAAGAGGAAGUGAUCGAAGCUGAUCUUGGAGUGGACACUGUGUUCAUCAACGCCAGUUCUUACAUUAUUCAGCAACAUCACAGCUUUUACUGCAAAGAAGCCUUUCAUCAUUACUGGAGACUGAAAGUUCAUUCCUUCAGCCAGAAUGAAGUCAUUCUUGUCUUGUGGUGUCAAGUAUGGUGUCAUCCCAAGUAGAAUGUGUUGCAGUCAUCCUCAUCUCCAGUGAAAGAAGGUUGUCAUGCUUGAAUUUUCUGGCAAUCUACCUUCUCAUGGGAAAAACUGAAGCUGAAUCCAAGAUGGCGUCAUUCAAGAUGGCCUCCACAUAGCCUAACAAUUUGUAUCUAAAAUUUUAUCACCGUCCAUCAUACCAUUUCCAUUUUAUAAGCAUGUUUCAUCACUUUUGAGAAAACUGGUAUGUAUGUACAGAUGUAUCAUAGACGACUGUGGCCCCCAGACAUGACCUGCACAUUCUAGAUAAGGCUACAGGAAUCUCAGCUUAACCUACCAGAUCAUACAGUAAGACAUUCUGCUUCUCCUCUGGACAGUCCUGGGAAUAUAGAGGACUAGGACAUCUCUCUGGUGGAUUUCUCUGACUGGAUCCAUCUGUAGGAAAUAUAGACAAUGUCAGUCACUGUGUAUAUGUGAUGAUUAAAUGAGGGGGGAGUCUAGGUGACCCUAAAACCUGGUCUCUUCUCUAUAAUC